AACAGGAUUAGACACCCUGGUAGUCCACGCCGUAAACGAUGUCGACUUGGAGGUUGUGCCCUUGAGGCGUGGCUUCCGGAGCUAACGCGUUAAGUCGACCGCCUGGGGAGUACGGCCGCAAGGUUAAAACUCAAAUGAAUUGACGGGGGCCCGCACAAGCGGUGGAGCAUGUGGUUUAAUUCGAUGCAACGCGAAGAACCUUACCUACUCUUGACAUCCAGAGAACUUAGCAGAGAUGCUUUGGUGCCUUCGGGAACUCUGAGACAGGUGCUGCAUGGCUGUCGUCAGCUCGUGUUGUGAAAUGUUGGGUUAAGUCCCGCAACGAGCGCAACCCUUAUCCUUUGUUGCCAGCGGUUCGGCCGGGAACUCAAAGGAGACUGCCAGUGAUAAACUGGAGGAAGGUGGGGAUGACGUCAAGUCAUCAUGGCCCUUACGAGUAGGGCUACACACGUGCUACAAUGGCAUAUACAAAGAGAAGCGACCUCGCGAGAGCAAGCGGACCUCAUAAAGUAUGUCGUAGUCCGGAUUGGAGUCUGCAACUCGACUCCAUGAAGUCGGAAUCGCUAGUAAUCGUGGAUCAGAAUGCCACGGUGAAUACGUUCCCGGGCCUUGUACACACCGCCCGUCACACCAUGGGAGUGGGUUGCAAAAGAAGUAGGUAGCUUAACCUUCGGGAGGGCGCUUACCACUUUGUGAUUCAUGACUGGGGUGAAGUCGUAACAAGGUAACC
rnacentral:rRNA from 1 species